UAUUUUUUCAGAAAUCAGAAAAUAUUAUCAACAAAUUACAAAACAUCAUCAUGAUAUGAUUUGGGUACCUAUUUAUACAUACUCUCAAGAUCGUUCUAUACCAAUCUUAGUAUGCAGACAGAAGAGUCGUGACACGCGGUGGUAUUCAAUAUUAGAAUAAUAUGUGCGUGUAUGUCGAUCAACUCCUUACAUAUCAUUAUACACAUGUCGCAGCUAUACAGAACCAUUGAGAUUCGAGGUGCAUGUACAACUAUCGGCUAGCUAUCUACAAGGGCACAAGGCUAAAACCUACUGGCUACUUCAUAAAAGGGAGUUGGUACAUUGACACAUUGCACCAAAAUAAAGAUACGUAAUUCGCCACUACAGGAUCGAACUGGGGACCUUCUGCGUGUUAGGCAGAUGUGAUAACCGCUACACCACGGAAACAGUUGAUGUCAUUCAAAGAAUCGAUUGCACCUAAUUGUUCGUCUUAAAAAAAAAAAAAAAAUGUUUUAUGACAAAUUGGAUAAAAACAACGA